rnacentral:SRP_RNA from 1 species
GCCGGGUGCGGUAGCUUACACCUGUAAUCCCAGCACUUUGGGAGGCCGAGGUGGGUGGAUCAUCUGAGGUCAGGAGUUUUGAGACCAGCCUGGCCAACAUGGUGAAACCCCAUCUCUA